rnacentral:rRNA from 1 species
GUCGAGGGGCAGCGGGGUUGUAGCAAUACAACUGCCGGCGACCGGCGCACGGGUGAGUAACACGUAUGUAACCUGCCCUCUGCAGGGGGAUAAGCGGAAGAAAUUCCGUCUAAUACCGCAUAAUACAAUUUGGAGACAUCUCCGGGUUGUCAAAGGAGUGAUCCGGCAGAGGAUGGACAUGCGGCGCAUUAGCUAGUCGGCGGGGUAACGGCCCACCGAGACUACGAUGCGUAGGGGUUCUGAGAGGAAGGUCCCCCACACUGGUACUGAGACACGGACCAGACUCCUACGGGAGGCAGCAGUGAGGAAUAUUGGUCAAUGGGCGGAAGCCUGAACCAGCCAAGUCGCGUGAGGGAAGACGGUCCUAUGGAUUGUAAACCUCUUUUGCAGGGGAGCAAGGCGCGGUACGUGUACCGCGAAGGAGAGUACCCUGAGAAAAAGCAUCGGCUAACUCCGUGCCAGCAGCCGCGGUAAUACGGAGGAUGCGAGCGUUAUCCGGAUUUAUUGGGUUUAAAGGGUGCGCAGGCGGACUGUUAAGUCAGCGGUAAAAUGUCGGUGCUCAACACCGGCCGGCCGUUGAAACUGGCAGCCUUGAGUGAGCGAGAAGUAUGCGGAAUGCGUGGUGUAGCGGUGAAAUGCAUAGAUAUCUCGAGGAACUCCGAUUGCGAAGGCAGCAUACCGGCGCUCAACUGACGCU